UAAUAGUGUAUAUUAAAGUUGUUGCAGUUAAAAAGCUCGUAGUUGAAUGUUGGUGUCGAACGAGCGGUCAGCUUCGGCUGUACUGCUCUCUCGACUCCUUCCUUCUGUGGACUACGUCGCACUUUACUGUGUGGCGCUAGGACGCAGAUCGUUUACUGUGAAAAAAUUAGAGUGUUCAAAGCAGGCCGUACGCUUGAAUACAUUAGCAUGGAAUAAUGGAAUAGGACGUCGGGCCUAUUUUGUUGGUUCUAGGACCGUCGUAAUGAUUAAUAGGGACAGUUGGGGCCGUUUAUAUUCCGUAGUCAGAGGUGAAAUUCUUGGAUUUACGGAAGAUAAACUACUGCGAAAGCAUUCGGCAAGGAUGUUUNCAUUAA
rnacentral:rRNA from 1 species